CGGUCCCUUGCAUUUCUUCUUUUUUUUUUUUGAGACAGAGUCUCACUCUGUUGCCCAGGCUGGACUGCUGCAGUGGCGCGAUCUUGGCUCACUGCAAGCUCCGCCUCACGGGUUCACGCCAUUCUCCUGCCUCAGCCUCCCGAGCAGCUGGGACUACAGGCGCCCACCACCACACCUGGCUAAUUUUUUAUAUUUUUAGUAGAGGCGGUGUUUCACCAUGUUAGCCAGGAUGGUCUUGAUCUCCUGACCUCGUGAUCUGCCUGCCUCGGCCUCCCAAAGUGCUGGGAUUACAGGCAUGAGCCACCGUGCCUGGUGGUCCCUUGCAUUUCUAUAUGAAAUUUAGGAUCAGCUUGUCAAUUUCUGCAAGAAAGGAACCUGGGGUUUUGAUAGGAUUCAGUUGAAUCCGUGACCAAUUUGGGUCAGUUAAAUGAAAGCAUGGACCAUGGGGGAGUUGGACCAUAUGAACUUGGCAUGGAACAUUGUGAGAAAUUUGAAAUCUCAGAAACUAGUGUGAACAGAGGGCCAGAAAAAAUCAGACCAGAAUGUUUUGAGCUACUUCGGGUACUUGGUAAAGGGGGCUAUGGAAAGGUUUUUCAAGUACGAAAAGUAACAGGAGCAAAUA
rnacentral:lncRNA from 10 species